GACGAACGCUGGCGGCGUGCCUAAUACAUGCAAGUCGAGCGCAGGAAACUGACGGAACUCUUCGGAGGGAAGGCAGUGGAAUGAGCGGCGGACGGGUGAGUAACACGUAAGGAACCUGCCUCAAGGAUUGGGAUAACUCCGAGAAAUCGGAGCUAAUACCGGAUAGUUCAACGGACCGCAUGGUCCGCUGAUGAAAGGCGCUCCGGCGUCACCUUGAGAUGGCCUUGCGGUGCAUUAGCUAGUUGGUGGGGGAACGGCCCACCAAGGCGACGAUGCAUGGCCGGCCUGAGAGGGUAGUGGUGCACACGGGGAAUGAGACACGGCCCAGACUCCUACGGGAGGCAGCAGUAGGGAAUCUUCCACAGUGGACGAAAGGCUGAUGGAGCAACGCCGCGUGAGUGAUGAAGGUUUUCGGAUCGUAAAACUCUGUUGUAAGGGAAGAACACGUACGAGAGGAAAUGCUCGUACCUUGACGGUACCUUACGAGAAAGCCACGGCUAACUACGUGCCAGCAGCCGCGGUAACAC
rnacentral:rRNA from 1 species